GGGGUUGUGGCUCAGUGGUAGAGCGCUUGCCUAGCAUGCAUGGGGCACUCAAUUUGAUCUCCAGCACCA
rnacentral:tRNA from 1 species